rnacentral:rRNA from 1 species
GGUCCAGACUCCUACGGGAGGCAGCAGUGGGGAAUAUUGCACAAUGGGGGAAACCCUGAUGCAGCGACGCCGCGUGAGUGAGGAAGUAUUUCGGUAUGUAAAGCUCUAUCAGCAGGGAAGAAAAUGACGGUACCUGACUAAGAAGCCCCGGCUAACUACGUGCCAGCAGCCGCGGUAAUACGUAGGGGGCAAGCGUUAUCCAGAUUUACUGGGUGUAAAGGGAGCGUAGACGGCGGUGCAAGUCUGGAGUGAAAGGCAGGGGCCCAACCCCUGGACUGCUCUGGAAACUGUAGUGCUGGAGUGCAGGAGAGGUAAGUGGAAUUCCUAGUGUAGCGGUGAAAUGCGUAGAUAUUAGGAGGAACACCAGUGGCGAAGGCGGCUUACUGGACUGUAACUGACGUUGAGGCUCGAAAGCGUGGGGAACAAACAGGAUUAGAUACCCCAGUAUG